GAAAAGAUGAAAAUUCAAAGUUCAAAUGAUGGUUUCUACAGAGUAUGUAUUGCUUUCACACCAUCAUAAAUGCAAAAAAGUCAUAAGUUGAACCAUUGACAUGACUCCAGAGCAUGAAUGAGUGAAUGACACCUUGGGAAGAAAACUUUGAACACAAAUAUAAUUCAAGCAAUGGACUGACAGAGAUGCCAUGCUGAGACUGAAGAGAAGGGAGUUGGCAGCAAUUGCUGAGAAAUGGAUCAAGCCAGAAUUCUCUUAAUGCAUUGAGGGGAAUCUAAACUACUUUUGGUGAAGACUGAAUGGCAAGCAGUCAAAAAAAAAAGAACAUUGGAGGCAGCCCCGGUGGCUCAGCGGUUUAGCACCGCCUUCAGCCCAGGGUGUGGUCCUGGCGACCCGGGAUC